rnacentral:lncRNA from 12 species
ACUAAAAAUAGAUGAAGGGUAUAAAAAUUCUUAAUAUGAGAUCUGACACAUUCUAAAAGCUUAAAAUGCAGACUGUGCUUUGAAUUUGCCAAGAAAAUGGGAAAAUUAAAGCUGGAAGUCUUUGCCAGGACUGGGGUGGUCCUUGCAGUUGCUGCUCUCCUCAUUGACUCUUAUUUUAUCCUCAGCAGGUUCCUUAUCCAAGAAGCACAUACAUCAAAACCACCUGGAUAUAUGUUUAAAGUAGAAUGUUUGGGUCCCAUCCAGAUUCACAUAAUCAGACUUUCUGGAUCAAGGAGAAAGAAGACAAGAAAGUUAAAGCUGGCUAUCAGAUUUGAUCCUCCAGAUUAGAUGCCAGCCCUGUCAACACCUUGAUUUCGGCCUUUGAAACCAUGGUUGUGUUGCCCAGGGGAGAGAGGUGAUCUCAGACCUGAGGCCUCAACCCAACCAGCCCAAAAGAUGUCCGCAAAGACUCUUGGACUCAUCAGGAGAAAGAAUUCAAGGAGAAACACAACACAACUGAUGAGUAGUACAAGUUGGAAAGUUUAUUAAAGUGAAAGUACACUCUUGAGAUGUGUGGGAGCCAAGGAGCUCAAGGGAGAGCUGUGCACUGGGGUUUGGGUCUCUAUCUUUUAUUGACAGUUGUUAAUGAGGGGGUGGGAUAUUCAUUACUUAAAACAAAGAUUCCUUGAAAGCAGGAUGGUCUCUUCCAGGAAUGUGGAUUGUGUCCCUUUUCUUCCUUGUUUGGUCAGAAGCUUCCAGCCUACUUUGUCAACCACCUAGGACCUGUCUGGUUUGAUCCAGUUUAUUAUGGUUCUGUUUUGGAGCUGUGGACAGGCCUCGGACUUUCUCAUAGUUGGCUGUGGCUACCUCCUUCCUGCCCUCCAGGCCUACUGUUAGAACCUAACUGCUUACUCAACUGCUGAACUCACUUCUAGCCUGCAGAACUACAAGAUAAUGAGCAGGUAUUUUAAGCUGUUCAAUUUGUGUCAAUGUAUUACAGACAAAUAGAAGGCUAACAUAGGAGACUUGCUCUACACAAUAUUUUACAAACUUUAGCAUUCAUCAGAAUCUAUGGUAUCUCUGUUUGAUUCCAAGCUCAUGUUAUUUCCUUUUUGCCAUUAUACUGGUAAAGAAUGCCAUUUCAAAAUAGUGAAAAUUAUUGUGGUAGAUACAAAGAACUUCCUAG